UACGUAGGAGGCGGGCGUUGUCCGGAAUUACUGGGCGUAAAGAGCUCGUAGGCGGUCUGUCGCGUCGGCUGUGAAAACUCGGGGCUCAACCCCGAGCCUGCAGCCGAUACGGGCAGACUAGAGUUCGGUAGGGGAGACUGGAAUUCCUGGUGUAGCGGUGAAAUGCGCAGAUAUCAGGAGGAACACCGGUGGCGAAGGCGGGUCUCUGGGCCGAUACUGACGCUGAGGAGCGAAAGCGUGGGGAGCGAACAGG
rnacentral:rRNA from 1 species